GAUCUGACGUGCUUGCGCUGAAGUGACGACCCAUUACCAGUGAGCGGCGGACGGGUGAGUAACACGUGGGCAACCUGCCCUGAAGCGGGGGAUAACAUUUGGAAACAGGUGCUAAUACCGCAUAACAACGAAAACCACAUGGUUUUCGUUUCAAAGAUGGUUUCGGCUAUCACUUCAGGAUGGGCCCGCGGUGCAUUAGCUUGUUGGUAGGGUAACGGCCUACCAAGGCAAUGAUGCAUAGCCGAGUUGAGAGACUGAUCGGCCACAAUGGAACUGAGACACGGUCCAUACUCCUACGGGAGGCAGCAGUAGGGAAUCUUCCACAAUGGGCGCAAGCCUGAUGGAGCGACACCGCGUGAGUGAAGAAGGGUUUCGGCUCGUAAAGCUCUGUUGUUGAAGAAGAACGUGCGUGAGAGCAACUGUUCACGCAGUGACGGUAUUCAACCAGAAAGUCACGGCUAACUACGUGCCAGCAGCCGCGGUAAUACGUAGGUGGCAAGCGUUAUCCGGAUUUAUUGGGCGUAAAGCGAGCGCAGGCGGUUGCUUAAGUCUGAUGUGAAAGCCUUCGGCUUAACCGAAGAAGUGCAUCGGAAACUGAGCGACUUGAGUGCAGAAGAGGACAGUGGAACUCCAUGUGUAGCGGUGGAAUGCGUAGAUAUAUGGAAGAACACCAGUGGCGAAGGCGGCUGUCUGGUCUGCAACUGACGCUGAGGCUCGAAAGCAUGGGUAGCGAACAGGAUUAGAUACCCUGGUAGUCCAUGCCGUAAACAAUGAGUGCU
rnacentral:rRNA from 1 species